rnacentral:rRNA from 1 species
UACGGGGGGGGGCAAGCGUUUGUUCGGAAUUACUGGGCGUAAAGGGCUCGUAGGCGGCCAACUAAGUCAGACGUGAAAUCCCUCGGCUUAACCGGGGAACUGCGUCUGAUACUGGAUGGCUUGAGAUUGGGAGAGGGAUGCGGAAUUCCAGGUGUAGCGGUGAAAUGCGUAGAUAUCUGGAGGAACACCGGUGGCGAAGGCGGCAUCCUGGACCAACACUGACGCUGAGGAGCGAAAGCCAGGGGAGCAAACGGGG